AUCCUCAUCUUCAUAUCGAAAGCCGGAUGCAGCAAUUGACGGUGAUGCUUCCGUAGAUGCGAAAUCUUCACAUUCCCGAAUCCAGUAACAGAGAAGUAGUCAGGUUUGUUCCCAUCUUUCAAAACGGCAUUGAUGAAGCUCUCUUGUUGGCUGUUAUUGUGAGUCCAAUAUGUCAUGUACUCAGGGUUACAUGUGUAGUCUGUGAGUUUCUCCAUCUCGACGAUUUCGAUCACUCUGUUCACGGAUUGUUCUUUGAUCUUGGAGAUUAGAGUCCGACCUGCUCGUUUGAUGGAAGAUUGAAUCUGUGGGAAGUUUUCAGAAUGUUUAGCAAUGAUGGAGGAGAUAACAACUUCAAUGUAGUCCCAUGUCUUCCUGAUGAACUCUACUGGCUUGUCAUGUAUGUCAUCUACAUGCUGUGAAAGGAUGGCCAAGAAGGCUGAUCUCGGGAUGAAAUUGGGUAGUCCAACACAUUUGCAUUCGUCUAGGAUUUUUAUUUCAUCCAUCAAGAACUCACUCGCAUCCUUUGGCUUUGUUUGCAGAUCAUCUGAGAAUUGGCUUAACAUAUCAGCCAAGCGAGCAGUACAAUGCAUGUUUUGAUCAUCAGGGUAUUCGGAGAAGUCUCCUUGGACGAGAAUUCUCAAUAGUGAUUCUUUAGCAGAACCAAUGAUCUCCAUUAAUGUCAUUAAUGCUUCCCCUGUAGAACCUAUUACCAUUGGUAACUUGUUCAACUCAAGGACAGCAGUUUCCAACUUCUGGUUGAUCUUGCGUACGAUUUCAGGCAAACAUCUGGCGAUCAUGCUUGCUUGGAUAAGCAUUAGCUUCUGAGCUAAAACUGGGAUGCCCACAAUGUCUUCGUCAAUCAGGCUCAGUAGUGGAUGGGUCCUGAAAAGUAACUCUUCUUGCAUCCUUGCUUCUUCAUAUGACUCUUCUCCUACACGGUUUCUGACGCAGACAUAACCAAGUACAAUACUCACAUCAUCAGCUGUUACUUUCUGUAGAAGACCUUCUGGAGCCAUGUCUGCCUUUGUGACAACAGCCAGAGUCCGUUGACCCGUUUUGUCAACUUUUCUAGACAUUCGAAUGGAUUCGCAGGUG
rnacentral:lncRNA from 1 species